rnacentral:lncRNA from 1 species
AACCAAGAAUGUGGUAAGGUCUAUGAGCUCAUUUUCUAUUUUUAAGUAUUAUAUUCUUGCGUCUUACUGUACUCUGUUCGUGUAGAACAAGUGCCUAAACCUGAAGAACAACUAUUCUAAUUUAAGACUCCAUUGCUACCAUAGGACAUAGAUAUAUGUUUGUUUGAUGCUUUUAUUAUGUAUUAGUACUUGGCAAUAGAAGACUUGGUAAUUUAAUCCUGUCCACCUUACUAAUGAACUGGUUCACCGAAAUGAGUUUCAUAUACUAGUACAUGCUAAACUUGUUAUGUGUCUGCUUGUUUCUUCUUUUAGAAUGCUGACAGAAUAUUGGGGAAGAAUGCCUUAUUAAGCAACGGUAAAGGAAGUAAUGCAGAUAAGGUUCAGGAUAGUGACACAUCCAGUCUUGGUUUAGUGUUGGAGUUACUGGCCACUACCGCUUGCACAAGCUAUUCAAACUCACUGUCUGAAUCAGUUUAGUUUCUUGAGUCUCAACUACAAGCUGAAAGACAUCGAUCAG